rnacentral:rRNA from 1 species
GAAAGUAAAAAAGGGCGCAUGGCGGAUGCCUUGGCUCUCGGAGGCGAUGAAGGACGUGAUAAGCUGCGAUAAGCUUUGGGGAGGUGCAAAUGACCUUUGAUCCAGAGAUUUCCGAAUGGGACAACCCAAUAUCUUGAAGAGGUAUUAUCCAACGUUGUUGGAGGCUAACGCAGGGAACUGAAACAUCUUAGUACCUGCAGGAAAAGAAAAUAAACAAUGAUUCCCCCAGUAGUGGCGAGCGAACGGGGAACAGCCCAAACCAUCCAUGUUACGGCAUGGGUGGGGUUGUAGGACUACGCCGUUGCAUGAAGACAUCAGAGAAGAACUUUCUGGAAAGAAAGACCAUAGAGCAUGACAGUUGCGUAUUCGAAUGUUGUCGAAGCAUAGUAGUAUCCUGAGUAGCGCGGAGCACGAGGAAUUCUGCGUGAAUCUGCCGGGACCAUCCGGUAAGGCUAAAUACUCCCGAGAGACCGAUAGCGAACCAGUACCGUGAGGGAAAGGUGAAAAGCACUUCGAACAGAAGAGUGAAAUAGUUCCUGAAACCGUGCGCCUACAAGCGGUCGGAGCUCGUUAAUGAGUGACGGCGUGCCUUUUGCAUAAUGAACCUACGAGUUGCCUUUGCCGGCAAGGUUAAGUGUGACGACACACGUAUCCGAAGCGAAAGCGAGUCUGAACAGGGCGUAUAGUCGGCAGUGGCAGACGCGAAACCAAGUGAUCUACCCUUGGCCAGGUUGAAGGCUGGGUAACACCAGCUGGAGGACCGCACCAAUAAGCGUUGAAAAGCUUCUGGAUGAGCUGAGGGUAGGGGUGAAAGGCUAAUCAAACUUGGAGAUAGCUCGUACUCCCCGAAAUGCAUUUAGGUGCAGCCUUGCGGGUUACUGAUGUGAGGUAGAGCGACUGAUAAGAUGCGAGGGCUUCACCGCCUAUCAAGUCUUGACAAACUCCGAAUGCGCAUCAGUUCUACCGCAGGAGUGAGGGCAUGGGUGCUAAGGUCCGUGCCCGAGAGGAGAAGAAUCCGGACCACCUGCUAAGGUCCCGAAAUGACAGCUAAGUUAAACUAACGAAGUCUGACUGCUAAGACAGCUAGGAUGUUGGCUUGGAAGCAGCCAUUCAUUUAAAGAGUGCGUAACAGCUCACUAGUCGAGGAGUCGGGCGUGGAUAAUAAUCGGGUAUCAAGUUGUCUACCGAAGCAGUGGGAUCAUUUAUAUGAUCGGUAGGGGAGCAUUCCAGUCAGCGUCGAAGGCGUACCGUGAGGUAUUCUGGAGCGUCUGGAAAAGCAAAUGUAGGUAUAAGUAACGAUAAAGGGGGCGGGAAACCCCCUCGCCGAAAGACUAAGGUUUCCUGAUCAACGCUAAUCGGAUCAGGGUCAGUCGGGUCCUAAGGCUCAGCCGAACGGCGAUGCCGAUGGCAGAAACGGUUAAUAUUCCGUUACUACCUUCAGGAGUGACGUGGAGACGCAGUAGUGACAGUGCCGCCAUCUGACGGAAUAGAUGGUUGAAGGGUGUAGGAGUCGAUCAUGGCAGGCAAAUCCACCAUGAGAUCCGAACCUGACAGUAUGCCGCGUCCUUCGGGACAAGGCAAUAGUGCGCGUAAGCAUGCUGCCGAGAAAAUCCGCUAAACUUAAUCCUGCAGGUACCCGUACCGCAAACGGACACACGUAGUCGGGAUGAAUAUUCUAAGGCGCUUGAGUGAUUCACGGUUAAGGAACUAGGCAAACUGACCCUGUAACUUCGGGAUAAAGGGUCCCUACCCUUUUAUGGGAGGGCGCAGAGAAUCGGUCCAGGCAACUGUUUAACAAAAACACAGGGCUGUGCCAAAUCGAAAGAUCCAGUAUACAGCCUGACACCUGCCCGGUGCUGGAAGGUUAAGAGGAGAUGUCAUCGAUAAGAGAAGCGUUGAAUUGAAGCCCCAGUAAACGGCGGCCGUAACUAUAACGGUCCUAAGGUAGCGAAAUUCCUUGUCGGGUAAGUUCCGACCUGCACGAAUGGUGUAAUGAUCUGGACACUGUCUCAACCGUGAGCUCAGUGAAAUUGUAGUAUCGGUGAAGAUGCCGAUUACCCGCGAUGGGACGAAAAGACCCCGUGAACCUUUACUAUAGCUUAUCAUUGAAUCUGGGCACGUGAUGUGUAGGAUAGGUCGGAGGCUUUGAAGCAGGUACGCCAGUAUUUGUGGAGCCGCUGUUGAAAUACGACCCUUUAUUUGUUUGGAUUCUAACCCGUGGAUACGGGGACAUUGAUUGGUGGGUAGUUUGACUGGGGUGGUCGCCUCCAAAAGCGUAACGGAGGCUUCUAAAGGUGCCCUCAGACCGAUUGGUAACCGGUCGCAGAGUGUAAUGGCAUAAGGGCGCUUGACUGGGAGAGAUACAACUCGAUCAGGUAGGAAACUAGAGCAUAGUGAUCCGGUGGUUCCGCAUGGAAGGGCCAUCGCUCAAAGGAUAAAAGGUACUCCGGGGAUAACAGGCUGAUCAUUCCCAAGAGCUCAUAUCGACGGAAUGGUUUGGCACCUCGAUGUCGGCUCGUCACAUCCUGGGGCUGGAGAAGGUCCCAAGGGUUGGGCUGUUCGCCCAUUAAAGUGGCACGCGAGCUGGGUUCAGAACGUCGUGAGACAGUUCGGUCUCUAUCUAUCGUGGGCGCAGGAGAUUUGAGGGGCUCUGACACUAGUACGAGAGGACCGUGUCGGACGUACCACUGGUUUACCGGUUGUCCCGCCAGGGGCACCGCCGGGUAUCUAAGUACGGAUCGGAUAAGUGCUGAAAGCAUCUAAGUACGAAGCCGGCCUCAAGAUUAGAUCUCCCUCAAGGGUGGUUAUAGACGAUGACCUUGAUAGGCCACAGGUGUAAGGGCGGCGACGUCCGAGCCGAGUGGUACUAAUAGCCCGGGACUUUCCUCA